CCUACGGGUGGCAGCAGUGGGGGAUCUUCCACAAUGGGGGAAACCCUGAUGGAGCAACGCCGCGUGAGUGAAGAAAUAUUUCGGUAUGUAAAGGUCUAGCAGCCGGGAAGAAAAUGACAGUACCUGACCAAGAAGCCCCGGCUAACUACGUGCCAGCAGCCGCGGUAAUACGUAGGGGGUAAGCGUUAUCCGGAGUUACUGGGUGUAAAGGGAGCGUAGACGGUUGUGUAAGUCUGGAGUGAAAGGCCGGGGCUCAACCCCGGGACUGCAUUGGAAACUGGGUAACUGGAGUACAGGAGGGGCAGGCGGAAUUCCUGGUGUAGCGGUGAAAUGCGUAGAUAUCAGGAGGAACACCGGCGGCGAAGGCGGCCUGCUGGACUGAAACUGACGUUGAGGCGCGAAAGCGUGGGGAGCAAACAGGAUUAGAUACCCUAUUAGUC
rnacentral:rRNA from 1 species